GCUUUCCUGUUGCUCAGUCAGUAGAGCAUUGUGUUAGCAAUGCGAAAGUCGUGGGUUCUAACCCCGGAAAAGCA